ACGACCAUCAACGUGAGAGUGUGAAAUCCCGACAGAUGGAUGUGAAGUACAUUCACAGCAGGAGCAUGUGCAGAAGAGUGGUGCAGAGCAGGGUGCGGACUCACUGUUAAAGUGAAGGAGAGCUUUGGGCGUGACGGGAGUCGAGAAGAGGCGGAGCAUUCUGAAUGAACAGGUCUGAUUGACGGGACGCCCAUCUGUUGUCCCAGAGUGUUUCCUGUACCGAGCGGUUGUUACCUGUCCCCAGCCGGUAGCCACUGCGGUGAGGGCAAUGCUGCUGACACUCCGCCCUCCUCUCCUGCUCCCACAUUUCUGCCUCGGACUCGG